UACGUAGGUCCCGAGCGUUGUCCGGAUUUAUUGGGCGUAAAGCGAGCGCAGGUGGUUUAAUAAGUCUGAUGUAAAAGGCAGUGGCUCAACCAUUGUGUGCAUUGGAAACUGUUAGACUUGAGUGCAGUAGAGGAGAGUGGAAUUCCAUGUGUAGCGGUGAAAUGCGUAGAUAUAUGGAGGAACACCGGUGGCGAAAGCGGCUCUCUGGACUGUCACUGACACUGAGGCUCGAAAGCGUGGGUAGCAAACAGGAUUAGAUACCCUGGUAGUCCACGCCGUAAACGAUGAGUGCUAGUUGUUUGGGGCUAUCCAGCCCUAAGUGACGCAGCAAACGCAUUAAGCACUCCGCCUGGGGAGUACGACCGCAAGGUUGAA
rnacentral:rRNA from 1 species